rnacentral:piRNA from 1 species
UGGACUUUGAUUUUGUUUUAAAGGGUCCGA